GAACGCGCCGCCCGGGUUAUAACAGACGGGUGAGUAACACGUGGGAACGUACCCUUUGGUUCGGAACAACCCUGGGAAACUAGGGCUAAUACCGGAUACGCGCGAGAGCGGAAAGGUUUACCGCCGAAGGAUCGGCCCGCGUCUGAUUAGCUAGUUGGUGAGGUAACGGCUCACCAAGGCGACGAUCAGUAGCUGGUCUGAGAGGAUGAUCAGCCACAUUGGGACUGAGACACGGCCCAAACUCCUACGGGAGGCAGCAGUGGGGAAUAUUGGACAAUGGGCGCAAGCCUGAUCCAGCCAUGCCGCGUGAGUGAUGACGGCCCUAGGGUUGUAAAGCUCUUUUACCUGGGAAGAUAAUGACGGUACCAGGAGAAUAAGCCCCGGCUAACUUCGUGCCAGCAGCCGCGGUAAU
rnacentral:rRNA from 1 species